rnacentral:rRNA from 1 species
GACGAACGCUGACGGCGUGCUUAACACAUGCAAGUCGAACGAAGUGGCGAACGGGUGAGUAACGCGUAAGCAACCUGCCCUUCAGAGGGGGACAACAGUUGGAAACGACUGCUAAUACCGCAUACUGAAGGAGGGGAUUGCGUCUGAGGAGCUAGUUGGAGGGGUAACGGCCGACCAAGGCGAUGAUAAGUCGCCGGUCUGAGAGGAUGAACGGCCACAUUGGGACUGAGACACGGCCCAGACUCCUACGGGAGGCAGCAGUUGGGAAUCUGCCGCAAUGGACGAAAGUCUGACGGAGCAACGCCGCGGGAGUGAUGACGGCCUUCGGGUUGUAAAGCUCUGUUAAUCGGGACGCGGUACCGGAAUAGAAAGCCACGGCUAACUACGUGCCAGCAGCCGCGGUAAUAC